UGGGGAAUAUUGCACAAUGGGCGAAAGCCUGAUGCAGCAACGCCGCGUGAGUGAUGAAGGCCUUCGGGUUGUAAAGCUCUGUCUUUUGGGACGAUAAUGACGGUACCAAAGGAGGAAGCCACGGCUAACUACGUGCCAGCAGCCGCGGUAAUACGUAGGUGGCAAGCGUUGUCCGGAAUUACUGGGCGUAAAGAAUGCGUAGGUGGAUAUGCAAGUCAGAUGUGAAAUACCCGGGCUCAACUUGGGUGCUGCAUUUGAAACUAUAUACCUAGAGUGCAGGAGAGGAAAGCGGAAUUCCUAGUGUAGCGGUGAAAUGGGUAGAGAUUAGGAAGAACACCAGUGGCGAAGGCGGCUUUCUGGACUGUAACUGACACUGAGGCAUGAAAGCGUGGGGAGCAAACA
rnacentral:rRNA from 1 species